rnacentral:rRNA from 1 species
CCUACGGGAGGCAGCAGUAGGGAAUCUUCCGCAAUGGACGAAAGUCUGACGGAGCAACGCCGCGUGAGCGAAGAAGGCCUUCGGGUCGUAAAGCUCUGUUGUUAGGGAAGAACAAGUAACGCAGUAACUGGCGUUACCGUGACGGUACCUAACGAGAAAGCCACGGCUAACUACGUGCCAGCAGCCGCGGUAAUACGUAGGUGGCAAGCGUUGUCCGGAAUUAUUGGGCGUAAAGCGCGCGCAGGCGGUUCCUUAAGUCUGAUGUGGAAGCCCACGGCUCAACCGUGGAGGGUCAUUGGAAACUGGAAAACUUGAGUGCAGAAGAGGAAAGUGGAAUUCCAUGUGUAGCGGUGAAAUGCGCAGAGAUAUGGAGGAACACCAGUGGCGAAGGCGACUUUCUGGUCUGUAACUGACGCUGAUGUGCGAAAGCGUGGGGAUCAAACAGGAUUAGAUACCCUCGUAGUC